UGCCAGCCGCCGCGGUAAUACGAAGGGGGCUAGCGUUGUUCGGAAUUACUGGGCGUAAAGCGCACGUAGGCGGAUUAGUCAGUUGGUGGUGAAAUCCCGGAGCUCAACUCCGGAAUUGCCUUCAAUACUGCUAGUCUUGAGUUCGAGAGAGGGUGGUGGAAUUCCCAGUGUAGAGGUGAAAUUCGUAGAUAUUGGGAAGAACACCAGUGGCGAAGGCGGCUAACUGGCUCGGUACUGACGCUGAGAUGCGAAAGCGUGGGGAGCAAACAGGAUUAGAUA
rnacentral:rRNA from 1 species